AGAGUUUGAUCCUGGCUCAGGAUGAACGCUGGCGGUAUGCUUAACACAUGCAAGUCGAACGGAAUGCUUCGGCAUUUAGUGGCGGACGGGUGAGUAACGCGUGAGAAUCUGGCUUUAGGUUCGGGACAACAGUGGGAAACUGCUGCUAAUACCGAAUGUGCCGUAAGGUGAAAGAUUAAUUGCCUGAAGAAGAGCUCGCGUCUGAUUAGCUAGUUGGUGAGGUAAAGGCUCACCAAGGCGACGAUCAGUAACUGGUCUGAGAGGAUGACCAGCCACACUGGGACUGAGACACGGCCCAGACUCCUACGGGAGGCAGCAGUGGGGAAUAUUGGACAAUGGGCGCAAGCCUGAUCCAGCCAUGCCGCGUGAGUGAUGAAGGCCCUAGGGUUGUAAACCUCUUUUCUUGGGGAAGAAAAAAAUGACGGUACCCAAGGAAUCAGCAUCGGCUAACUCCGUGCCAGCAGCCGCGGUAAUACGGAGGAUGCAAGCGUUAUCCGGAAUUAUUGGGCGUAAAGCGUCCGCAGGUGGCACUUCAAGUCUGCUGUCAAAGGUCGGGGCUUAACCCCGGGAAGGCAGUGGAAACUGAAGCGCUAGAGUGUCGUAGGGGUAGAGGGAAUUCCCGGUGUAGCGGUGAAAUGCGUAGAGAUCGGGAAGAACAUCGGUGGCGAAAGCGCUCUACUGGACGACAACUGACACUCAGGGACGAAAGCUAGGGGAGCGAAUGGGAUUAGAUACCCCCGUAGUCC
rnacentral:rRNA from 1 species